ACUAAAGAGUAAAGAGACCACCUAUCAAAAAAAUGACCGUUAGGCCGCUCAAACAGUCCUCUGUCUUCCUAGACAAAUUCAUCAAAUCCCAACUAAACCUCUCCAAGCCCUCUCCAAAACUCUGGCAUUAUAAACAAAUCGAUGAUCAAUAUAUCGAUGACAAAGGAUGGCCCAUUUUGAAUCUUAACCACCCCAUUUUGCGCAGACUCGAAUCCUGCAGGAACAUCAGACAAUUCAACGAGGUGCAGUCACAAUCCAUGUUUCUUGGUCUCUUUCAACACCCUCUCAUCGCAAGUCGGUUGCUAAAGAAGCUAUGUACUUCUCUAAAUUCAGUUUCUCUUGCUGUUUCUUUGUAUGAUAACCUUGAAGAGCCUGAUAGUUUUAUGUGUAAUACGAUAAUGAGAAGUUUUGUGAAUUCGGAUGACCCAUUUGGUGCUUUGAGCUUUUACUAUGAGAAAAUGAUGGCGAAGUGGGUUUCCCCUAAUCAUUACACGUUUCCUCUGUUGGUUAAGGUGUGUGCUCAGAUUGGAUCCUUGGCAGAGGGGCAAAAGGCUCAUGCUUGGAUUAUGAAACUUGGGUUUGAGUUCGAUUUAUUUGUUAGGAACUCAUUGAUGCACUUUUACCCUGUUUUUGGAAAAAUUGAGGAUGCCAGUAUGUUGUUUGAGGAAGCGUACGUGUUGGAUUUGGUGAGUUGGAAUACGAUGAUUGAUGGGUAUGUGAAGAAUGGGGAUCUGAAGUCUGCAUGUAAGAUUUUCGAUGAAAUGCCCCAGAGAGAUGUUUUCACUUGGAAUUCAAUGCUUUCAGGGUAUGUAGAGAUUGCAGAUAUGGAGUUCGCAAAAGAGUUGUUUGACAAAGUGCCAUGUAGAGAUGUUGUUUCUUGGAAUUGUAUAAUUGAUGGAUAUGCAAGGAUAGGAAAUGUUUUGGUUGCUCGCCAGUAUUUUGAUUGGAUGCCUUUGAGGAAUGUAACUUCUUGGAACACCAUGUUGGCUCUUUAUGUGAGGUGUAAAGAUUACCUCACUUGUUUGAAGUUGUUUGACAAGAUGAUAGAAGGAGAUGCCAGGCCAAAUGAGGCCUCUUUUUUGAGUGUCCUCACUGCGUGUUCAAAGUUAGGGAGGCUUGACAUUGGAGAGUGGGUUCAUUCUUACAUUAAGUGUAAUCAGAUUGAACUUGACUUGUUACUCUCAACUGCUCUCCUGACAAUGUAUGCAAAAUGUGGCUCUAUGGAGCUGGCUAGAGAUAUUUUUGACCAGAUGCCUGAGAGAAGCACCAUAUCGUGGAAUUCGAUGAUCAUGGGAUAUGGGAUACAUGGGAAUGGAGGGAAAGCCCUGGAGACGUUCACGAAGAUGGUGAAGGGAGGCCAUUUUCCAAAUGAUGCAACUUUUGUGUGUGUUUUAACGGCAUGCACACAUGCAGGAAUGGUUUUGGAGGGUUGGUGGUACUUUAAUAUAAUGCAAAGAGUUUACAAGAUUGAACCAAAAGUGGAGCACUAUGGUUGCAUGGUUGAUCUCCUCGCCAAGGCUGGUUUGAUGAAAAAUUCAGAAGAAUUUAUAAGUAAGAUGCCUAUGGAUGCAGGGCCUGUGCCAUGGGGAGCUUUACUUUCUGCAUGCAGUACCCACUCAAAUUCAGAGCUGGGGGAAAUUGUGGCCAAGCGACUAAUUGACUUGGAACCAAAUGAUAGUGGGCCUUAUGUUAUGUUAUCAAACAUUUAUGCUGCAAAUGGGAAAUGGGAUGACGUCGAAAACGUGAGGAAGAUUAUGAAGGAAAAGGAAUUGCAGAAAGAAGCGGGGUCCAGCAUGGUUCAACUAAGAGAGUUGAGAUCAGAAUCUUCUAAGUCAGAUGAUUCACUCCAUAAGAGAAACAUGAUGUAUUCAAUGCUAGGAGAGAUUGGUGCUUGGAUGAAAUCAUCUUCCAGUGAAUUAGAUACAUUUAAGAGCUUUAGUUAGGGGAAAUGAUUUCAAUGCUUUUUACUCAAGUGGAAGAUGAAUUUUGGAAAAGAAUUUCAGAGAUUGCUGAUAUCAGUCAGAGAUGGACAAGAAGGGCUUGAAAACAACGAUUUCCAUGCUAGAGGACCAAUAUCAUGAGUAGUUUUAAUCUCCAUGUAAGAAGUCUAGUUUGGGGAUAUAAAGGAUUUGUGUACAUACCUGGUAGCAUGCACCACAGCCAACACCAUUUCGAUAGAGUUCAGAUGCAGCUGAUACAUCUCC